CAAUAGCGUAUAUUUAAGUUGUUGCAGUUAAAAAGCUCGUAGUCGGAUUUUGGCUGAGAACGAUCGGUCCGCCGUUAGGUGUGCACUGAUUGGUCUCAGCUUCCUGGUGAGGAGGUGUGCUUCACGGCCACUUAGUCACCGUGGUUACUUUGAAAAAAUUAGAGUGUUCAAAGCGGGCUUACGCUUGAAUAUAUUAGCAUGGAAUAACACCAUAGGACUCCUGUCCUAUUUCGUUGGUCUCGGGACGGGAGUAAUGAUUAAGAGGGACAGUCGGGGGCAUUCGUAUUUCAUUGUCAGAGGUGAAAUUCUUGGAUUUAUGAAAGACGAACUAGUGCGAAAGCAUUUGCCAAGGAUGUUUUCAUUAA
rnacentral:rRNA from 1 species